ACGCUGGCGGCAUGCCUAACACAUGCAAGUCGAACGAGACCGUUCGGGUCUAGUGGCGCACGGGUGCGUAACGCGUGGAACCUGCCUUUAGGUUCGGAAUAACUCAGAGAAAUUUGAGCUAAUACCGGAUAAUGUCUUCGGACCAAAGAUUUAUCGCCUUUAGAUGGGCCCGCGUUGGAUUAGCUAGUUGGUGGGUAAAGGCCUACCAAGGCGACGAUCCAUAGCUGGUCUGAGAGGAUGAUCAGCCACACUGGGACUGAGACACGGCCCAGACUCCUACGGGAGGCAGCAGUGGGGAAUAUUGGACAAUGGGGCGAAAGCCUGAUCCAGCAAUGCCGCGUGAGUGAUGAAGGCCUUAGGGUUGUAAAGCUCUUUUACCCGAGAUGAUAAUGACAGUAUCGGGAGAAUAAGCUCCGGCUAACUCCGUG
rnacentral:rRNA from 1 species